CUGGGGUGCUCGAGUGGCGAACGGGUGAGUAACACGUGGGUGAUCUGCCCUGCACUUCGGGAUAAGCUUGGGAAACUGGGUCUAAUACCGGAUAGGACCAUCGUUUAGUGUCGGUGGUGGAAAGUUUUUUCGGUGUGGGAUGAGCUCGCGGCCUAUCAGCUUGUUGGUGGGGUAACGGCCUACCAAGGCGUCGACGGGUAGCCGGCCUGAGAGGGUGUACGGCCACAUUGGGACUGAGAUACGGCCCAG
rnacentral:rRNA from 1 species